GGAAGAUUGUCUGAGUGGCUUAAAGAGCCUGCUUUGAAAGCAGGUAAGCAGAAAUGCAGCAGGGGUUCGAAUCCUCUAUCUUCCACCA
rnacentral:tRNA from 1 species